AGUGAACGCUGGCGGCAGGCCUAACACAUGCAAGUCGAACGGCAGCACAGUAAGAGCUUGCUCCUACGGGUGGCGAGUGGCGGACGGGUGAGGAAUACAUCGGAAUCUACUUUUUCGUGGGGGAUAACGUAGGGAAACUUACGCUAAUACCGCAUACGACCUACGGGUGAAAGCAGGAGAUCUUCGGACCUUGCGCGACUGAAUGAGCCGAUGUCGGAUUAGCUAGUUGGCGGGGUAAAGGCCCACCAAGGCGACGAUCCGUAGCUGGUCUGAGAGGAUGAUCAGCCACACUGGAACUGAGACACGGUCCAGACUCCUACGGGAGGCAGCAGUGGGGAAUAUUGGACAAUGGGCGCAAGCCUGAUCCAGCCAUGCCGCGUGGGUGAUGAAGGCCUUCGGGUUGUAAAGCCCUUUUGUUAGGAAAGAAAAGCAGCAGGUUAAUACCCCGCUGUUCUGACGGUACCCAAAGAAUAAGCACCGGCUAACUACGUG
rnacentral:rRNA from 1 species